AUGCAACAUAUAAAUGAUUUCAUCAGAAAAUUUUGGUGGGGAAGUAAGUAGGGAGAAAGGAAGACUAGUUGGGUCUCUUGGGAGGUGAUGACAAGGCCAAAAUAUAUGGGAGGCCUCGGUUUUAGAGAUAUAGAGUUAUUUCAUCUUGCUAUGUUGGCUCGUCCGAGGUGGCGUAUCUUAUUAGAUAAAAAAACCUAGGUGACAUGAUUCUCAAAGCACGUUAUUUUUCCUAAAUGUGACUUUUUUAAUGCCCAGUUGGGAGAAGCCCCCUUUCAAAUUUGGCGCCCUAUUUUGGAGGGAAGGGACAGCACAUAG
rnacentral:rRNA from 1 species